rnacentral:lncRNA from 10 species
CCAAUCUGCUGCCAGCACAGCCAGAACACAGUAGGCGGAAGAAGGUGGGAUAGGCUGGCUUGAUGAGCCUUCUGACUUUCACCUUUCUCCCCUGCUGGAUGCAUCCAUCCAUCUCUCCCUCCUGCCUUCAGACAUCAGACUCCAGCUUCUUUGGCCUUUGGACUCUUAGACUUACACUAGUGGUUUGCUGGGGGCUUUCCGGCCUUUGGCCACAGACUGAAGGCUGCAUCGUCAGCUUCCCUACCUUUGAAGAUUUUGGACUUUGACUGAGUCACUAUUGGCUUCUUUCUUCCUCAGCUUGCAGACGGCCUAUCAUGGGACUUCACCUUGUGAUCAAUUUCAUUCCUGCAGAAACCACAAUAAAGGGACGUGCCCUCAGUUGCCCUGUCUCCCUCUGCCUCAUGACUGACCGCGGUGCAUGACCUGAGUGGCCUUGUGUGGCCUGCUGCUUUCUCCCCAGUGAACUGUGAAUUACUAAUUGAGGCAUAUUUUGUGACUAUGGCAGAGGCAAAAAAGUACAAACAAAGGAGAAGGACUGAGGUGUUCUAUCUCUUUCCGGCACAAAUCAUCACUUCACAUAUCCCUUCUAGACAGCAGCUGUAUGAUAGCAUGAUACUUUUUUCUACUUGUUCUGAAGUGUGAACCGGAAAGAGCAGAAAGUGUUAGCCAGAGAAAAGACAUCCCUCUGUGAGGUUGUUUUGGGGUGAGAUAAACAUUUAAAUUGGUGAACUUUGAGAGGAAAAUUAGAAGACAAGUAUCCUCAUUUCCACCUGGAUCCAGUCUUUCUUCCUUAUUACUUUUAUUAACAAUAUCAGUUAAGGUUUAUAUGGAUGUCUUGCUUUGGCCUGUACAAAAAACUACUUUGUAUAUGCCUUAUUUUAUUAAUUUUGCUUCUGAAUUUCAUCAAAUUCUCUGAUCAUAACUCUAUAUUCUUGUAAGGAAUGCUCAGAAUUAUACUAUUUCACUCCAAAUUUUAUUAUUAUUGAGACGAAACUGGGUAUAGAAAGUUGUGGGACCAGUUUGUAAUUUAUUGCUUUAAAAUUUGGUCAAGCCACUCAAAUUCUCUAGCUGUACCUAUGAAAUAGCUUUAAUAUUUCAAUCCCCUGCAUUUUCUUUGAAUAAUAUGGAGUUUGAAUUGAAGUGGUCCUGAAUUUGAGUGCUGCAUAUGCUACUUUUGAGAUAUGUGAUCUUGAGCAAGUUGCUUAAUCACAUUAAACCUCAAUUCUCUCAUCUUUAAAAUAGAAAAAAUAAUAGCUACUUUACAGUGUUGAGAAAAGAAUAAGAUGAAACAGUUUAUUAAAAACAUAGAAGAGUGCUUAAGACAUAAUAAAGUCUACAUAAAUUGUGCCUAUUGUUAUUACUAAUAAAAAAAAAAGAAAUUCUACGUGUCAGGAAUUUGAACAAAUUACAGCUGGAUUUGCAUAUUUCUUCCACAAGAUGUAUGUGGUCCCAUCUGAUAAUAGGGAAUUGGUUGGUAACUGGAAUCUUCUUGGAAACCUCUUAAAUCACAGAUCUUGCACUUGUACUGGGAUAAUCUGGAGUGUGUGCUCCUCUGAGUUUGUUGACCAAAUCACCUACAGGUGAACUCUCCAUAUAUGUAUUUUCCUAGUCAAUUCCUACACUGACCUCAAGCAAACACUGAUCAGCUUUCUGUCAUAAUAGAUGCGAUUUACUUUUUUAGAAUUUAAUAAAACUCAAAUUAUACUGUAUGCAUCCUUUUGUGUCUGGAUUGCUUUUUUUUCUCUGCCUUACAUUGUUGAAUAUAUUCUAGGUAUGUUUUACUAAUUGCUUGGUUGUAUAUUAAUGCAUACUGCAUUUUGUUUAUCCAUUCAACUAUUGAUGGAAAUUGGAGUUGUUUUCAGUUUCUGGUUAUAAAUAAAACAGCUAUGAACAUUUACAU